GAUGAACGCUGGCGGCGUGCCUAAUACAUGCAAGUCGAGCGAACAGAUGAGGAGCUUGCUCCUCUGACGUUAGCGGCGGACGGGUGAGUAAAACGUGGAUAACCUACCUAUAAGACUGGGAUAACUUCGGGAAACCGGAGCUAAUACCGGAUAAUAUAUUGAACCGCAUGGUUCAAUAGUGAAAGACGGUUUUGCUGUCACUUAUAGAUGGAUCCGCGCCGCAUUAGCUAGUUGGUAAGGUAACGGCUUACCAAGGCAACGAUGCGUAGCCGACCUGAGAGGGUGAUCGGCCACACUGGAACUGAGACACGGUCCAGACUCCUACGGGAGGCAGCAGUAGGGAAUCUUCCGCAAUGGGCGAAAGCCUGACGGAGCCACGCCGCGUGAGUGAUGAAGGUCUUCGGAUCGUAAAGCUCUGUUAUUAGGGAAGAACAAAUGUGUAAGUAACUAUGCACGUCUUGACGGUACCUGAUCAGAAAGCCACGGCUAACUACGUG
rnacentral:rRNA from 1 species